ACACCAGUGCGAAGGCGACUCUCUUGGUCUGUAACUGACGCUGAGGAGCGAAAGCGUGGGGAGCGAACAGGAUUAGAUAUCCUGGUAGUCCACGCCGUAAACGAUGAGUGCUAAGUGUUAGGGGGUUUCCGCCCCUUAGUGCUGCAGCUAACGCAUUAAGCACUCCGCCUGGGGAGUACGGUCGCAAGACUGAAACUCAAAGGAAUUGACGGGGGCCCGCACAAGCGGUGGAGCAUGUGGUUUAAUUUGAAGCAACGCGAAGAACCUUACCAGGUCUUGACAUCCUUUGACAAUCCUAGAGAUAGGACGUCCCCUUCGGGGGCAGAGUGACAGGUGGUGCAUGGUUGUUGUCAGCUCGUGUCGUGAGAUGUUGGGUUAAGUCCCGCAACGAGCGCAACCCUUGAUUUUAGUUGCCAGCAUUCAGUUGGGCACUCUAAGGUGACUGCCGGUGACAAACCGGAGGAAGGUGGGGAUGACGUCAAAUCAUCAUGCCCCUUAUGACCUGGGCUACACACGUGCUACAAUGGACAGAACAAAGGGCAGCGAAACCGCGAGGUUAAGCCAAUCCCACAAAUCUGUUCUCAGUUCGGAUCGCAGUCUGCAACUCGACUGCGUGAAGCUGGAAUCGCUAGUAAUCGCGGAUCAGCAUGCCGCGGUGAAUACGUUCCCGGGCCUUGUACACACCGCCCGUCACACCGGCGAGAGUUUGUAACAC
rnacentral:rRNA from 1 species